GUGGGUAUAGCUCAGUGGUAGAGCAUAUGCUUAGCAUGCACGAGGUCCUGGGUUCAAUCCCCAGUACCUCCA
rnacentral:tRNA from 1 species